GCGAGAGUGCUGGAAGAGACAUCUUGGGAUUAGCUAGAAACAGUGCAAUGGAAACUCCCAGGAAUCUAGGAGGGUGACUCUAAGACUUUUAGCAAUGGGGAAUAUGGAGCUUGACUGACCAUCUUCUGUAUUACCAAGCAAGACUUCCAGUGGAGGAAUUGGGACACCAACCCAGCCACAAAACCUUUCACCUACCAUCUGUCCGGCCUAUAAAAUGUGUAGGGGUAAGGGGGGUGCAGAAAUUGUGGGAGUGCCCAAAUGGUGACUGGUGCAGCUUGAGACUCAUGCCACAAGAGGGAGCCCACCAUGACACUACCAGGAGGGCUAGAACCCAGAGACUGGAUAGCCCAGAGACCUGUGAUAGAACCAAACAUGACUGGUUAAAAAAAAAAAAAAGUCACUGAGAUGAUUCUUAAUGCUAUUCUGCUAUAUUUAUAACAUGGUGCCUCAACCAGUUGUCAUCAGAGAGGCCUUAUGCCACUACUGAUGAGGCAGAUGCAGAGAUUCACAACCAGACAUUAGGUGGGGUUCAGGGAAUCCUGCAAAGGGAAGGAAGGGGCGUAGGAACCAAAAGGGAUAAUGACACCACAAGAAAGCCCAGAGUCAACUAACCUGGGCUCAUAGGGCCUUACAGAGACUGAACCGACAACCUGGGAGCCUGCAUGGAACCUAGGCCCUCCACACAUAUGUUAUAGUUGUAUAGCUUGGUUUUCUUGUGGAACUCCUAACAGAUGGAACAGGGACUGAUUCUUUUGCCAAUGUUCGGGACUUUCUCCCUCAUACUGGGGUGCUUCAUCCGGCCUUAAUAUGAGGGGAGGGUGCCUUGUCUUACUGCAACUUGAUAAGGGAGGCCUGCUUUUCUCUGAAGAGAAACAGAGCUGGAGCUGUAAUCUCACAUGGUGGCUGGGAACUUGGGACCUCUAACCACUGAGAAUCUCUCCAGGCUCCCUCAAUGACUCCUUCAAAAGAUACAAUGAACCUUAAAGAGUUGUGACGGCUCAUCUUGGUUGUCCACUUGACAAGACAAACUCCUGGGUACUACUAAGGGAUUUUUUUUGGGUUAGAUUAUCUGAAGCAGGCACACUCUAAAUGUGAGCUGCACUGUCAAAUGAAACGGUCAAGGAUUAAAGAAUCUGCCUUUUAUCUGCGCCCCCUCACUCUGCCGGGUGAGCUCAUUUGUCCUGUUGCUAUGGCUAUUAGGAGCAACUUGUUCAGAGUUCCACUGUCCAGUGGCAAUCAGUGGCUCUCCAGGAAUCCUCCAGGCCUUCAGCAUCAGACUGGAGCUGCUGAGACACCCAGCCUUGUGGACUGCCACUACCAGUGUGAGACAGCCAUUAUUGUACUCUGCAGAGUACAUCCUAUAAGCCCAUCUAAGAAACCCCCUUUCUAGGUGUUUUCAUUCUGUAAGUUCUGACGCUUUGGAGAAUCCUGACUAGAAGAGCAGCAUUAGGUGUGAUAUGGGGUGAAGUCGGAAGCCCAGAGUUCUUGUACCUGCUUUUCACAUGUGUGCCUUUCCCAACAGCAUCACUUAGAUGUCUGUGGUUACAGUUGGCGCUUUGGCACAUUAUCAAUAUAGAGAUCUUAACACACUGACUUCAUUUCUUCAGGUGUUGACCUUCAGUGAGGUUGAAGGAGCAUAUGGUUCUUGUUUUCAAUUUUCUAAGGUGCCCCUCUGCUGUUUUCCACAACAGACAGCUGUGCUGACAUCUUUCCCAGUGACAGCAUUGCAAUGAGUCCGCCUGAACCUUUACCCUGCCUUUUGUUUGGUGACCACUGUAACAGGAUUGUGAGGUGCCUGUGAUCCCAGCACUGGGGAGGAUGGAAAGCAUGAGGCAACCCAAACAAAACAAAAACUCUCACAUGUGCUAGGUAUAGAACUCAGAGAGGCCUCCUGCACACUAAACAAAUGUUCUACAAUGGAGUGCAAUAAUCUACAACCUUAAGUUUUCUCUGUUAAAGAAUUACAAG